AUAGAUAGAGAUAAACUGUAAACAGCAAAAAUGUUCAGCAAAGUAAGAUCUACAAAUAAGUCAACAUGACCAAAAUGGUCUGUUGACCCCUUUAGAAGUUAUUGCCCUUUAUAGUCAAUUUUUAACCAUUUUUCGUAAAUCUUAAUUAUCUUUUACAAAAAUCUUCUCCUCUGAAACUAUUGGACCAAAUUAAACCAAACUUGGCCACAAUCAUCAUUCGGGUAACUAGUUUAAAAAUUGUGUCCGGUGAUCCGGCCAACCAACCA
rnacentral:lncRNA from 1 species